rnacentral:tRNA from 1 species
GCCAGCUUGGCGCAGCUGGUAGCGCAACUGACUUGUAAUCAGUAGGUCGCCGGUUCGAGUCCGGCAGCUGGCUCCA